CUGUGAGCAGCAGGUGAGCAGCACUGACAGCAAUGAGCCCUGGAGUGCCCAGGGGCACUGAGCAGCACCAAAGGGAGCAGAGGGCACACAGGGGCAGGGCAUCAGCAUGAGGGGAUAAAAGCUGGGUUAAAGAACAAGAAGGGUGGAUACUUGCAACCUUCUGAUGAGAAGUGAAGUAUUGCAAGAGUCAGUGUGUCUGAGAAGUUACACAGGAGUCCAGGAAGAAGAGCUCUCAGGCCCUAGAACUUAAGAAGGAGCACCUGAGGAAAAGCAUGGCAGAACAACCAAGAUGCUUUUCCCUGCUGUAGCUGCUACUCCUGCUGCUAUGGAGUGGGAGGGAGCAGGCAAUGCCCAUCAGGUGAGCAACAUAAGAAGUACAAGGAGCUGCUUGUUGAGCUGCAGUGCCACCAGCUCCUCCAGAAAGGGACUGAACCUACUUUUCUGUGAUCAGCACAGUGCUGCCACUCUCUCCACCUGUACAGAGAAGCAAUAGAACUUCUUGCUUGGAGACCUCACUCUGCUAUCACAGGGAGAGCAGGAACAUUCUCAACACCGUGCUGGAUCUCACCUGAGGUGAGGGCAGCUGAGUGGGUGGACAUGUGAAAUACCUCCAGGAGAUGUUCAACACCUGGGUAUCUCAGAGCUCUUGGGGCUAAAGAUGUCUCUUCCAAAUUAUUCAGUGAUUCUAAAAAUGGAUGAAGAAGAGGCCUUUACCUAAAGAAGGUUUUUUGAGCUGUCAUCUGCAGGACAGCACUGAAACAACAUGCUUAGAAGCCCUUGGAGAAGGGUGAAGCCUCUCUAGGUAUCUCAAGUAUUGUAUUCCAGGAGCUCUACAAGACGCAUGCAAAGAAAAAUUCCACAUCAAACCACCCUACCUGAGCUAAAACCUCUCUUCCUGAAAGAUGUCUAGUAUUCAUUUACAGCCUUCACGUGACAGAGAAUGCACCAGGCACCCAGGCUGUAGCAGCGAUUCCAGCAUCCCCAUCCUCUGUAUCAUCGCAGGGAUGCUCGGCAGUAUCCAUCAUCUCACACAAACGUUUCCCGUUCCUUCAACCAAGUAUCAAUCUAAUGGUUGAGCACUCCAAUAUCUCCAUUAAGCGUAUUUUUUGACUCUUGCACCUGGCUGUGGCUGCUUGGCUCUAUCUCCUCCCUGGUCAGAGGAAAUGGAAGUGCUGCAGCGGCUGCAGUCUCGCAGACCCGAGGGCGAGCAGCAGCGGACAAACAGCGCCAGGAGCGGCCCGGGGGCUGCGGGGCGGCAGCGAGACAAUGUGUUGCCAGCAGGGAAAUGGGUGCUCCUCUCCUGCACACUCCCACUAAGGAUGGUGUCCUACCCCCUUUCCUUGGGGUGGUACAACUGCCCUGAUAUGAAAUAUGGGAGUGUGCCCUUUAUGAGAAGAUUCUUCACUGAUUCCUUUUAUACAGAAGAGGCUGAAAUUGAGAGUUUGACCUUAAACACCAGUGAAAGAUCAAGCUCACCUGUCCAGACGUGGGUUACGCACUGCCUGGCUGUGGUGGGGACAAGGUCUGGCCAGCACUGCCAGGCCACGGUGAGGAUGAGGACUGGGCAGCCCUGUCUGUAGCUCUUCCCUGGUUUCCUGCUGCCUGCUGGAUGGUGAGUGAUGUGGUAAAUCAGCUGUCACUUAGCAACGCUGCCGGCUGGGGAGCAGCGGCAGGUUUUGGUGCAGGAGCGAUGCCUGCAAGGCUGUGCAGUGGUUAUUUCACCUUUUCCCCCUCAGUGUUUUCCAACCCAGCAUGUGUUUUCUUUCCCUUGCUGCUUUCCCUGAACGUGUGGGUGCAGGUUUCCCACGGCUGAAGACAGCAGCCCCAGCUGCAGCAGGCAGAUGUUCCCUGCCAGCCCUGCCGGGGUUGUUGUGCAGCGCUGGAGCACCCCGAGACCCCCAGAGGAUUUGAGCUCCAACCCAGCCCAUGGUGGCAAGCAGCCCUCUGCCACCUGCAGAGCUGGUCCAGCAGGACACAGAGGGGGCAGAAGGAUGAUUAGCUGGGGUUUAUUCUCUGAGGAAGAAAACAGCAUGGACAAACACAGGGACCUGCCUACACAAGGAGCUCAUAUCAGCACUGCAAAAUCGUUGCCAACGGGACUCGAGGCCCGUGGCUCACACCAAGAUAUUUCUGCACAUGGAUUUGUCCAACUCUUCACCAUCUGCACAGCCAGGCCUCAAGAGCAGGGGACUAUGCAGCAGAAGGCAGGAAGAUCAUGGCUGUGUUCACUGGGGUGAGGGAUGGGGACCCCCCAGCUCUCCCAGCACUGCCUCUCACCUUGUCCUUCCUCUUGGGAGCAGGAAGAGCAACCUUCCAGAUUAUGGCUUUUAAACUGACAGUCUGCAAACUCUUCAAAAGAACUCAAAUCUAUCAGAGAAAAGGACAAUAAGAGGGGCUUAAACCAUUUUUGAACACAUCCUGGCACACUUUGGAGCCUUUUCUGAUAAGGGCUAAGAAGCAGAUUCAGUUCUGCUCCACACAUGCCAGCCUUAUGACUCUAAGAAAUUUUUGUAAUGCAACAAUGCACUUAAAAAAAAAAAAAGAAAUAAAGAAGCCUUUCCUUGAGAAUCAAUGAGCAAAAAAUCUUGAAUAAGGGUGUUGCUCACCUGGUGGCCCAGUUGGAAUAAAACCCCUGGUUCUCACAAAAGCAGGUUUUUAGUUUAUACCCAUUUUUGAGAUAUGAUCUGAAUGUAUCUAGCCAAAACUUAGGCUUGCAAACCCAGCCCAUGGGAGUGAAAGGAUUUGCAAAUGUAAGGAAGCCAGACUGAGCUGGCAACUAGGCCAGGCUAGACAGGCCAAGCUGACCCAGUUGCUCAUGGAACAACAGCACGGGGCAAUAAAUGGAAGCACUGGGAGUAGCUGCUGUGCUGGGAGCCUUGUUGAGAUGGAGGGAACUGCCAAACCCAUGGUGACCAGUUCUGAGGCCACGUGGGGUGGGACAGCCUGGCCCAAAGGGAGAAAUCUUCCAUUUUGGAUGACCCCUUGUAGGAGCAGACAUUCAAACAAAGAGGGAGUAAGCAAGGCUGAAAAGCAGCCAGUGAAAGACAUGACUUAUAACUGAGGUUUGAAAAUUUAUAGCUAGCCUGGGGAGCUCUUCUCAGGGCUUGGUUCAUCAUGCACUGGAAGAAGAUGCCAAAUGAGAUAAAGCUGGAGAUCUCUCAUGGUUGAGGACUUAACACCCUGGUUGUGGCCUCUGUGAAGGGACCCCAAGUGCUGUGCAGUGUUUCUGGGACACUGGACUGACAUUCGAGGCAAUCUCCUGGGGAAGGUCAGCCUGGACACCAAUUUCUCUCUUGCCCAUACUCAGCAACACCAGCUGAACACUGGCCACAGAUGCAAUUAGCUUGGCAGCCCUUUUAAUGUUUCUGAGGUUACAGCUGGGAUCAGUCUGUGCAGGUGGGAUCGUAGCUGGGUUUUUGGGAUGGGCAGUGAAGCCAAAGCACUCAGCAUGGGUCCCCAGGAAUGGCUGCUUGCUCUCUCCCUUCCAAAAGUGAGCUAGCUUUUAGUUAGUAUGAAAGGGUACUUCUGCCCAGAAUUAUUCUCAAAAGAUUAAAAGAAAAUCCAUUACUUUAUGAAUUAUAAGGAUUAGAAGGAAUUUCUGUAAGAAAUUAGGCCAAUUUUAUAACUUUUUCUUUCUUCUGGGUGAUAUUUGCAAGGGAAUUAUGAAGGCUUAACAAACCUCUACACAGUUGAAAUUCCUGAAGUUUUACAUACAGGUUAUACUUGGGGAAAAGAGGUUAUUAUUAGGGUAAGAUGAGGCUUUUGUCGCUAACAACUCAAAAUCUAAGUAGGAUAAUCUGGGAUGACAACAAUAUACUUUACUCGUGAUAACAUAAUUACCGAUCAGGAAGAAUAGAGGACAAAAUUAGGAUUGUUUAGGUGUCUUCAUGCUUUGUUUCUUCCUUCAAAUGCUGUCGAGUGCUAAUUCCCCACAGCACAACAUUUAGAUUGAAAUAAUCACCAAACCUGCAGAGAAUUUGAUGUUUCACCAUUCAGCUGUUGAGCUGUUCACUCACCUUUGCUUGACCCCAGGU